rnacentral:rRNA from 1 species
CCAGCAGCUGCGGUGAUUCCGGCUCCAAUAGCGUAUAUUUAAGUUGUCGCAGUUUAAAAGCUCGUAGUUGGAUUUCGGGUGGGUUUUAGCGGUCCGCCUAUGGUGAGUACUGCUAUGGCCUUCCUUACUGUCGGGGACCUGCUUCUGGGCUUCACUGUCCGGGACAGGGAUUCGGCAUGGUUACUUUGAGUAAAUUAGAGUGUUCAAAGCAGGCUUACGCCGUGAAUACUUUAGCAUGGAAUAACAUGAUAGGACUCUGCCCUAUUCUGUUGGCCUGUAGGAGUGGAGUAAUGAUUAAGAGGAACAGUCGGGGGCAUUCGUAUUUCAUUGUCAGAGGUGAAAUUCUUGGAUUUAUGAAAGACGAACUACUGAGAAAGCAUUUGCCAAGGAUGUUUUCAUUAAUCAAG